GAUGAACGCUAGCUACAGGCUUAACACAUGCAAGUCGAGGGGCAGCAUGAAGUUUGCUUGCAAACUUUGAUGGCGACCGGCGGAUGGGUGAGUAACGCGUACCCAACCUGCCCCCUUCCCGGGCACAGCCCUUGGAAACGAGGAUUAACGCCCGAUGCCGUCGGAUUGCCGCAUGGCAUUCCGACCAAAUGGGAAGGAAGGGGAUGGGGGUGCGUCCCAUUAGCUAGUUGGUGGGGUAACGGCCUACCAAGACGACGAUCAGUAGCCGGACUGAGAGGUUGAACGGCCACAUUGGGACUGAGAUACGGCCCAG
rnacentral:rRNA from 1 species